rnacentral:rRNA from 1 species
UGGGGAAUAUUGGACAAUGGGGGGCAACCCUGAUCCAGCAAUGCCGCGUGUGUGAAGAAGGUUUUCGGAUUGUAAAGCACUUUCGACGGGGACGAUGAUGACGGUACCCGUAGAAGAAGCCCCGGCUAACUUCGUGCCAGCAGCCGCGGUAAUACGAAGGGGGCUAGCGUUGCUCGGAAUGACUGGGCGUAAAGGGCGUGUAGGCGGUUUGUACAGUCAGAUGUGAAAUCCCCGGGCUUAACCUGGGAGCUGCAUUUGAUACGUGCAGACUAGAGUGUGAGAGAGGGUUGUGGAAUUCCCAGUGUAGAGGUGAAAUUCGUAGAUAUUGGGAAGAACACCGGUGGCGAAGGCGGCAACCUGGCUCAUAACUGACGCUGAGGCGCGAAAGCGUGGGGAG